rnacentral:lncRNA from 1 species
GAGAAAGAAGUGAUACAGUAGUGAUAAAGGAUUGAUACAAAAUGCUGAUUGUAUUUACCUUUAAUUUCUUGUUUUGUAUUUAAACAAUAAAAUAAGUAUAAAUAUCGGAUCAUUAUGGGUUUUCGUCGGGUUAGGAAUUUUGUUUCCGUUAACCAAACCAAACAUUUCAGUACGGAUCGGAUCGGAAUAAUUAAAAUUAAAAAAUAAUUAUUUAAC